CGAUUGAAAUUUGGUUAUUGGUGAUAUAAAACACUCAGAAUAGUUUGGUGAUGGCUCUCUUGUAUGAAGUGAGACAUUUGACACCAUUGAAUGUUCCCUUCUCUUUUCUAAUUAUUAAAGAUCGGUUAUAUAGGAUGAUAAGAAAGUGCUUGGUGAUGCCUCUCUUUAAUGUACUAAGACAUUUACCGCCAUUGGAAUUUCCUUUUAUUUUU
rnacentral:lncRNA from 1 species